rnacentral:rRNA from 1 species
GACGAACGCUGGCGGCGUGCUUAACACAUGCAAGUCGAACGGAAAGGCCCUGCUUUUGUGGGGUGCUCGAGUGGCGAACGGGUGAGUAACACGUGAGUAACCUGCCCUUGACUUUGGGAUAACUUCAGGAAACUGGGGCUAAUACCGGAUAGGAGCUCCUGCUGCAUGGUGGGGGUUGGAAAGUUUCGGCGGUUGGGGAUGGACUCGCGGCUUAUCAGCUUGUUGGUGGGGUAGUGGCUUACCAAGGCUUUGACGGGUAGCCGGCCUGAGAGAGUGUCCGGCCACAUUGGGACUGAGAUACGGCCCAGACUCCUACGGGAGGCAGCAGUGGGGAAUAUUGCACAAUGGGCGGAAGCCUGAUGCAGCAACGCCGCGUGCGGGAUGACGGCCUUCGGGUUGUAAACCGCUUUCGCCUGUGACGAAGCGUGAGUGACGGUAAUGGGUAAAGAAGCACCGGCUAACUACGUG